CCUUUCCAAAGAUGUGUUUCUAUCAUUCCACGAUUCUAAAUUUUUCAGACUCUGAACUGUAAGAACUCCAUUCCCAGGAUCAGCCUGGGUUUCUCUUCUCCUUACAACCAGACCAGGAUGGUAGACCUGAAUCUAUACUAAAGUAAUCUUCCCUUGACAGCUGAUGUUUGUGAUGGUUAUACCCAGCUUGGAAGAUGAAAUCCACCACAGCCACUUUCACACCCCCUCCUCAAAGGAAAAAAGUUAGAAAGUAUGAUGGAAAGGGCUCCAGGCUUGACUUAAGGAUGAGGACAUCACUCACCAAUUAUCGUCAAGGGUAACGGAGACUCAGAGAGGUUAUUGAAAUGUAUUGCCUAUAUUGUUCUUGUACUCUAGCACAGUGAGAAAUAAAAAGGCAACUAAAAACACUUUCCUCCCCCACUCCCAACCACCAUUCACCACCUUCUGUGCUCUCCCUCCAAUAGUCAGGCACAUGGGAACAGGGAAUGGGGGCCCAGAUUCCCACUUUUCUCACACUUUGUUUUAGGAACAGGAUUUUGCAGCUGGUGGGAGCAAGAAGCCACCCUUGGACUGGCAGUCACUAUGAGAGCUCAGACCUUUGCAAGGCAGACCAUUCAGUCAAAACACAGCUGAAAUAAGAGAAAGAGCCCCAUGCCUUGCUAGGAAUUCUCAUAAGCCAGGAGUCAGUCUCUCCCACACUUGCUUUGUCUUCUGAUGCGGGAGAAAUGAGCAGAUUUCCAGGCACCUUGGGUGUUUUCCGGUCCCACAAAAGGACUGCACUGACUCUGCUGAGGUCGAUAGUAGCUUGGGUAUGGACCUUUCUGCAUUUUUGUUGCAGUGGUGUAUUUUUGCUAAAAAAAUUGAGCAGCAGUAACCCCCUGUUCCCUGCCCUCCCCAUCCCCACCCAGCAAUGGUACGGAGUUGAGGCACUACCCUUGGGUGUACCAAACGAGUCGUUUCCUCCCCAGAGCUGAUGGACCCUCAUUCCAGAUGACGCUUGCAUAUACCACUGACAAACACUUUGGUGAUGAGAAUAUGGUGCCUGCAAUGCCCAAGUAUUUCUAAGGAAAAACUCUUCCUGUUUCCCACUGCACUGCCCUUGCUCCCUGACCACCGGUGCUGCCAGGAGGAGCCUGGGGGACACUUCCCUGUGGCUCGAUGCAGGGGCUCUCCAGCUGCCACCCGAGGGAGGCACCUCCUCCUCCCACGUGGCACAGCUCAGCCUGCCCCGGGGACAGUUUCCUUCUGCAAGUCGCAACUCGGAGAACAGAGAGCUCUGAGACAGCUGAGUGGGACACGCCAACAUGCUGCUGCUGGCAGCGCUGGUGGCCACAACCACUUGGUCUUAUGGAUUUGCACAGGAAAUUCCCAUACAGGCACCUAUAUCCAUCACCAAAUUUCAAGGAAGUACACGUCUGCAAUGUCAUUUUAAAGAUGUCUCUACAAAUUUUGAUAGCAUCGUCAUUCAUUGGUACCAGCAGAAGGAGAAUAAAGCUCCAGAGUGGAUGUUCUAUAUUACAACAGGGAAAACAUCAGUGGAGGAAAACUUCCAAGGGCGAACAUAUACAAUUGAAAGGAUUUCAAGAAAGAAAAUUUGUACUCUUACAAUAAGCAAUAUAAUUCCAGAUGACACAGCUAUCUACUACUGUGCCUACUGGGACUCUCACUACAGCAGAAACCCAGCGAUCACCUCAACCAAUACUCCCUCAGAGGCUCAACCACAAACGAUUUGAAAGAUCCCAACUCACUUCCCCCAGUGUGGAUGAGCCGCCUGGCCUCAACACGCAGGCUCUGCACAGCCGGGACUGGCUCGGCGC